GAUCCUGCGGAAGGUUGCUGCUAUUGGGGUUCGAUUUAGCCAUGCAAGUCUGCUCAGCAAUGGGCGGCGAAAUGCUCAGUAACACGUCAAUAAUCUGCCCUUAGAUCUGGGAUAACCUUGGGAAACUGAGGCUAAGCCCAGAUAUGAAAACUAUACUGGAAUAUGAGUUUUCUGAAACGUAAGGUCUAAGGAUGAGUUGGCGGCGGAUUAGGUCGUUGGUGGGGUAAAGGCCCACCAAGCCGAAGAUCCGUAGGGGCCUUGAGAGAGGUAGCCCCGAGAAGGACACUGAGAUACUGGUCCUAGCCCUACGGGGUGCAGCAGGCGCGAAACCUUUACAAUGCACGCAAGUGUGAUAAGGGAACCCCAAGUGCUUUGCUUUUAGUAAGGCUUUUGCCAAGAGUAAAUAUCUUGGCGAAUAAGUGGUGGGAAAGACUGGUGCCAGCAGCCGCGGUAACACCAGCGCCACGAGUGGCAAUCAUAAUUAUUGGGCCUAAAGCGUCCGUAGCCUGCUUGAUAGGUCUUUUGUGAAAUCGUUGUGCUUAACAUGACGACGUGCAAGAGAUACCAUUGGACUUGGAACCGGAGAGGAGUCAGAGGUAUUCUAGGGGGAGCGGUAAAAUGCUAUAAUCCCUAGCAGACCACCUGUGGCGAAGGCGUCUGACUAGAACGGCUUCGACGGUGAGGGACGAAAGCCAGGGGAGCAAAUCGGAUUAGAUACCCGAGUAGUCCUGGCUGUAAACGCUGUGAGCUAGGUGUUGCAUAUUCUUCGUGAAUGUGCGAUGUCGAAAUGAAGAUGUUAAGCUCACCGCCUGGGAAGUAUGGUCGCAAGACUGAAACUUAAAGGAAUUGGCGGGGGAGCACCACAAGGGGUGCGGCGUGCGGUUUAAUCUAAUUUAACGCAGAGAAUCUCACCAGAAGCGACGGCAGGAUGAAGGUCAGAUUGAAGGUCUUACCUGACGAGCCGAGAGGUAGUGCAUGGCCGUCGUCAGCUCGUGCCGUAAGGUGUCUUGUUAAGUCAAGCAACGAGCGAGACCUGUGCCUACAAUUGCUAACGACUCUUUUAAGAGAAUCGAGCACAUUGUAGGGACUGCCCUCGAAAGGGGGAGGAAGGUGCAGGCUACGGUAGGUCUGUAUGCUCCGAAUCUUCUGGGCUACACGCGCGCAACAAUGAUAAGGACAAUGGGAUGCGACUCUGAAAAGAGAAGCUAAACCUCAAAACCUUAUCUCAGUACAGAUUGAGGACUGUAAUUCGUCCUCAUGACGAUGGAAUCCCUAGUAAUCAGAUGUCAACAUCAUCUGGUGAAUAUGUCCCUGCUCCUUGCACACACCGCCCGUCAAACCACUCGAGCAGGGUCUAGGUGAGACUUAGUUUUUAAUUAAGCCGAACCUAGGCUCAGUGAGAUGGGUUAAGUCGUCACAAGGUA
rnacentral:rRNA from 1 species